UACGUAGGGUGCGAGCGUUGUCCGGAAUUACUGGGCGUAAAGAGCUCGUAGGUGGUUUGUCGCGUUGUCCGUGAAAACUCACAACUCAAUUGUGGGCGUGCGGGCGAUACGGGCAGACCUGGAGUACUGCAGGGGAGACUGGAAUUCCUGGUGUAGCGGUGGAAUGCGCAGAUAUCAGGAGGAACACCGGUGGCGAAGGCGGGUCUCUGGGCAGUAACUGACGCUGAGGAGCGAAAGCGUGGGGAGCGAACAGG
rnacentral:rRNA from 1 species